rnacentral:rRNA from 1 species
UACGGGGGGAGCAAGCGUUGUUCGGAUUUACUGGGCGUAAAGGGCGCGUAGGCGGCCAGCACAAGUCAGUUGUGAAAUCUCCGGGCUUAACUCGGAAAGGUCAACUGAUACUGUGCGGCUAGAGUGCAGAAGGGGCAACUGGAAUUCUCGGUGUAGCGGUGAAAUGCGUAGAUAUCGAGAGGAACACCUGCGGCGAAGGCGGGUUGCUGGGCUGACACUGACGCUGAUGCGCGAAAGCGUGGGGAGCGAACAGG